GCUCUGGGUGGAUUAGUGGUGAAGGGAGUGAGUAACACGUGAGUAACCUGCCCUUGACUCUGGAAUAAGCGUUGGAAACGACGUCUAAUACCGGAUACGAGCUUCCGCCGCAUGGUGAGGAGCUGGAAAGAAUUUCGGUCAAGGAUGGACUCGCGGCCUAUCAGGUAGUUGGUGAGGUAAUGGCUCACCAAGCCUACGACGGGUAGCCGGCCUGAGAGGGUGACCGGCCACACUGGAACUGAGACACGGUCCAGACUCCUACGGGAGGCAGCAGUGGGGAAUAUUGCACAAUGGGCGCAAGCCUGAUGCAGCAACGCCGCGUGAGGGACGACGGCCUUCGGGUUGUAAACCUCUUUUAGUAGGGAAGAAGCGAAAGUGACGGUACCUGCAGAAAAAGCACCGGCUAACUACGUGCCAGCAGCCGCGGUAAUACGUAGGGUGCAAGCGUUAUCCGGAAUUAUUGGGCGUAAAGAGCUCGUAGGCGGUUUGUCGCGUCUGCUGUGAAAACUGGGGGCUCAACCCCCAGCCUGCAGUGGGUACGGGCAGACUAGAGUGCGGUAGGGGAGAUUGGAAUUCCUGGUGUAGCGGUGGAAUGCGCAAAUAUCAGGAGGAACACCGAUGGCGAAGGCAGAUCUCUGGGCCGUAACUGACGCUGAGGAGCGAAAGCAUGGGGAGCGAACAGGAUUAGAUACCCUGGUAGUCCAUGCCGUAAACGUUGGGAACUAGAUGUAGGGGCCAUUCCACGGUUUCUGUGUCGCAGCUAACGCAUUAAGUUCCCCGCCUGGGGAGUACGGCCGCAAGGCUAAAACUCAAAGGAAUUGACGGGGGCCCGCACAAGCGGCGGAGCAUGCGGAUUAAUUUCGAUGCAACGCGAAGGAACCUUACCAAGACUUGACAUAUACGAGAAACGGGCUAGAAAAUAGUUUCACUCUUUUGGAAACUCCGUAAAACAGGGUGGUGGCAUGGUUUGUUCGUCAAGCCUCGUGGUCCCUGAGAUGUUUGGGUUUAAAUUCCCCCAACCAAGGCGCAACCCCUCCGUUUUUUUUUUGCCCAGCCCGGA
rnacentral:rRNA from 1 species